rfam:Mycobacterium angelicum strain DSM 45057 NODE_31_length_59925_cov_20.2535_ID_26385, whole genome shotgun sequence.
UUUCAGCGAACCCAGCCACAGCGGCCGGCCCUCCGGCCGGUCCCGGCCGUAGGUCUCGAUCAGCGCUUCGACCUC